rnacentral:rRNA from 1 species
AUUGAACGCUGGCGGCAGGCUUAACACAUGCAAGUCGAACGAGUGGCGGACGGGUGAGUAAUGCUUGGGAAACUGGCUUAUGGAGGGGGAUAACGACGGGAAACUGUCGCUAAUACCGCGUACCAUAGGAUGAGCCCAAGUGGGAUUAGGUAGUGGGUGGGGUAAUGGCUUACCAAGCCGACGAUCCCUAGCUGGUCUGAGAGGAUGACCAGCCACACGGGUACUGAGACACGGCCCGGACUCCUACGGGAGGCAGCAGUGGGGAAUAUGGCGCAAUGGGGGCAAGCCUGAUGCAGCCAUGCCGCGUGAAUGAAGAAGGCCUUCGGGUUGUAAAGUUCUUUCAGUAUUGAGGCGUUAACUACAGAAGAAGCACCGGCUAACUCCGUGCCAGCAGCCGCGGUAAUAC